AGGGAGAUGUGGUAGUGAUGAAAAGAGUAUAAAAAACUAAAGCUUUUUUUUUUAACCUUGAAACUGAUCUCUUGAGCAUCAUAUACAAUUCUUCACUGGUUGAUCGGAGAAAGCAGUAGAGACUUAGAAAAGAAUAGAGGUUCUUUAAUAGGCAAAGGGGAUUUAUUCUCCAUGUCACUUAGCGCUAGCAAAGUAUCACAGAACAAAUCAGAGGAGAAGAGCCCAGAAAAGGCCAGAUUGUGUUUUCCUGGAUAGUGGCAGGUUACCCCUUGCCGGUCUCCCCGUCACUGAGUGGGAAGUCCCUCACCUUCACCACUGCUUGUACGUGUGGUGCACCCAUGCUCAUGAGCAAGUAUUUUCCUUUCACAGAAUCCUGUUUCAUUCGGCCAAGACAGUUGGCUCAGCCUAAUGAACUGAGAGAACAGUGUCAACGCUGGGACACCCAUCACGAAUGCCUUUUAGACACGAUAGCGACGCGCUCAUUAGAAGCAAGCAACUUGUUUUCCUUGUCACAAAAAGAAAAGCCCCAAUACAGCUGAUAUUAAGGGUGAUUACAAUAGCAGCAAUCUACCCAAUGAAAAGUGGAAUAUCAGAACUCUUUCAUAGAACCAUACAUGUUUUUAAGGUCCUCCCCAAGGUGCAGAGAGACCAAGGGGCCCUAUGAGACCAAAUGCCCAGUUGGAAGGAGAACCGCAUCCGGACCCUGUGUCUCCAUAUUGACCAUACCACUGCUCUUCCCACUGCCAAAGAAUACAUAGAACUCCAGCUCCUCCCACCACAUGAAUCUGGACUUGGCCUUGUGACUUUGGCCAAUGAGACAUCAGCAAGUAGAAGAGACGUGGGAGAUGCUGUUGGAUUGGGACCUGCCCUUUCUUGCUUCUGUCUGGGAACCCUCUGUCACCAUGGGAACAAGACUCGGUCUGCCUGCCGGAGGAUGAGAGGCACGUGGAGAAGUCUCAGUCGUUCCGUUUAUUCCAGCUUUCCCAGCUACCCUGGCUGAUGCCCCGGAUGUGGGAGUGAGUCCAGCCAGUAUCAUGUGGCAAAGAGAUGAGCUAGCCCUGCUGGGCCCAGCCCAAACGGCAUACCCCCACAGGCGCACAUAAUGAACCACUCUGCACAAAGACUUGUCAGGAAUAAGCAAUGAGCACAACACGGUGGCUUUCCUGCUGGUGCCCUGGAAGGGGCUGUCUAGUCCCUACAACCAGUCAAAGCAAAACCCCAGCUGUAAUAAACACAGGAGCAGCAGAAUAGUUGAC